rnacentral:rRNA from 1 species
UACGGGGGGGGCAAGCGUUGUUCGGAAUUACUGGGCGUAAAGGGUGCGUAGGCGGCGCGGUAAGUCGGGUGUGAAAUCUCGGAGCUUAACUCCGAAACUGCAUUCGAUACUGCCGUGCUUGAGGACUGGAGAGGAGACUGGAAUUUACGGUGUAGCGGUGAAAUGCGUAGAUAUCGGGAGGAACACCAGUGGCGAAGGCGACUACCUGGCCUGUUCUUGACGCUGAGGCGCGAAAGCUAGGGGAGCAAACGGG